rnacentral:rRNA from 1 species
UAAGCGAGUAGUGAAAUGACGAGGCUCAACCUCGUGUCCAUUACUUGAACUGCUCAGCUAGAGGAUGAGAGAGGUUAUUGGAAUUUCUAGUGUAGGAGUGAAAUCCGUAGAUAUUAGAAGGAACACCGAUGGCGUAGGCAGAUAACUGGCUCAUUCCUGACACUAAGGCACGAAAGCGUGGGGAGCGAACGGGAUUAGAUACCCCGGUAGUCCACGCCGUAAACGAUGGAUGCUA